GACAUCAUAGCGAUAUGAUUGAAUGGUUAGAGCGUCCGCUUUGGAUGCGGGAGGUCGUGGGUUCCAUCCCCGGUCGAGUCA